CCCCGCCCCGGUCGCUUGGGCCCUGGGUGGCAGGUUUGCGCAGCCCUGCGGCGAUUUCAAGGCAAGUGACCGGAAUGGGUCGGAAGCGCGUCCCGUGAAAUCAAACCAGAAAUCAAAAAUGGAAGGAUAGGUGGCUGGCAAGAUGGUUGAAUAGGAACAGCUCCGGUCUGCAGUUCCCAGUGAGAUCAACACAGAAGGAUUGUCCAUGCUUCAAUCAUUUCUAUCCAAUGAAAUCUCUACAGAAGGCCCAAGGGGACUGAUGAGGUAUGGAGAACUUCCGGACAGCAGAACAUGUGGAGGGUUCUGGAGGGUGGUGUGUCUGGAGAGGGCGUGAAGGCUCCACACACCUUCCCGUAUGCCUUUUCUAUAAAUCCCUUAUCUAUAUCCUUUGUAAUAACCUUCAUGAUAUACCAGCAGAUGUGUUUCCAAGUUCUGUGAAGUGCUCUAGCAAAUUAAUCAAACUUAAAGAGAGGGUCAUGGGAACCUCAGUUUAUAACCUUGUUGGUCAGCACAAGUAAAGCAACCUAGGGCUUGCAAUUGGCAUCUGAAGUGGGACCUCAUCCUUUAACUUGUGGGACUGAGCCCUCAACCUGUGGAAUUCUAAUGCCAUCUCCAGGUAGAUGGCAUCAGAAUUGAAUUGGAGGGCACCCAGCUGGUAUCCACGGCAGAACUGAUUGCUCACUUGCUGGGGAGAAAUCUACUGGUCACAGAAGUCUUCUAUGCUGAUUGUUUUGUGGUGUGAGAACAGAGGAAAAAUAGUUUGAGCGCUUUCCACUCAACUAUUAAGGAAUUGAAUACAUAAUUUUAAAACUCCCCCAAAAGAAAUCUCCAGACCCAGAUGGUUCACUGGAGAAUUCUAAAAAAUGUUUAAAAAAGAAUUAACUCAAAUUUUUAAUAAUCUCUACCAGAAAACAGAAUAGGAAAGGAUACUUCCCAGUUCAUUAUAUAAGGCAGUAUUACCCCGAUACCAAAACCAGAAAAAGUACUGAAAAAUAAAACUGCAGACCAAUAUCCCUCAU
rnacentral:lncRNA from 1 species